UCCGGCUUGUCGCCGGCGGUCCCUUUAGAGUGCCCAACUGAAUGAUGGCAACUAAAGGCAAGGGUUGCGCUCGUUGCGGGACUUAACCCAACAUCUCGCGACACGAGCUGACGACAGCCAUGCAGCACCUGUGUUCGGUCCAGCCGAACUGAAGGGAUCCAUCUCUGGCUCCCGCGACCGACAUGUCAAGGGUAGGUAAGGUUCUGCGCGUUGCUUCGAAUUGAACCACAUGCUCCACCGCUUGUGCGGGCCCCCGUCAAUUCCUUUGAGUUUUAAUCUUGCGACCGUACUCCCCAGGCGGGAUGCUUAAUGCGUUAGCUGCGCCACUGAAGAGCAAGCUCCCCAACGGCUAGCAUCCAUCGUUUACAGCGUGGACUAC
rnacentral:misc_RNA from 1 species